GCCAAUGAUGAUAGUUUUUGUUUCACUGAAUGUAAGUAUGUGGUGUACUUGCAUUAAUGUUGAAUUCCAUGAACUAGGACGGUCUGAGGC